rnacentral:rRNA from 1 species
AUUGAACGCUGGCGGCAGGCCUAACACAUGCAAGUCGAGCGGAUGAAGGGAGCUUGCUCCUGGAUUCAGCGGCGGACGGGUGAGUAAUGCCUAGGAAUCUGCCUGGUAGUGGGGGAUAACGUCCGGAAACGGGCGCUAAUACCGCAUACGUCCUGAGGGAGAAAGUGGGGGAUCUUCGGACCUCACGCUAUCAGAUGAGCCUAGGUCGGAUUAGCUAGUUGGUGGGGUAAAGGCCUACCAAGGCGACGAUCCGUAACUGGUCUGAGAGGAUGAUCAGUCACACUGGAGCUGGAACACGGACCAGACUCCUACGGGAGGCAGCAGUGGGGAAUAUUGGACAGUGGGCGAAAGCCUGAUCCAGCCAGGCCGCGUGUGUGAAGAAGGUCUUCGGAUUGUAAAGCACGUUAAGUUGGGAGGAAGGGCAGUAAGUUAAUACCUUGCUGUUUUGACGUUAACAACAGAAUAAGCACCGGCUAACUUCGUG